AUUGAACGCUGGCGGCAGGCUUAACACAUGCAAGUCGAGCGGGGUGAUGGUGCUUGCACUAUCACUUAGCGGCGGACGGGUGAGUAAUGCAUAGGAAUCUGCCUAUUAGUGGGGGACAACAUCUCGAAAGGGAUGCUAAUACCGCAUACGUCCUACGGGAGAAAGCAGGGGAUCACUUGUGACCUUGCGCUAAUAGAUGAGCCUAAGUCGGAUUAGCUAGUUGGUGGGGUAAAGGCCUACCAAGGCGACGAUCUGUAGCGGGUCUGAGAGGAUGAUCCGCCGCACUGGGACGGAGACACGGCCCAGACUCCUACGGGAGGCAGCAGUGGGGAAUAUUGGACAAUGGGGGGAACCCUGAUCCAGCCAUGCCGCGUGUGUGAAGAAGGCCUUAUGGUUGUAAAGCACUUUAAGCGAGGAGGAGGCUCUUUUGGUUAAUACCCAAGAUGAGUGGACGUUACUCGCAGAAUAAGCACCGGCUAACUCUGUGCCAGCCGCCGCAGUAA
rnacentral:rRNA from 1 species